rnacentral:rRNA from 1 species
AAACCGAUAGCGAACAAGUACCGUGAGGGAAAGUUGAAAAGUACUCUGAAUAGAGAGUUAAAUAGUACGUGAAACCGCUUAGGGGUUAAGCCCGAUGAACCCGAAUAUCUGAUGUGAGAAAUUCAAUACUGUUCAUUCAACGGAUAGUAUGCACUUUUCUCAUAGUAAGACAUUGUAAUCCAUUGAUGCUAUAUCUCUUUCAUAUACGGGAGAGAUGAUUUAACAUACGGGCAAGAUGUAUAUGUUUAUUCUAUCAGUGAUGUGUUUACAUGUCAUAUGAAUAAGAUCGUUUUGUACCUGUUUAAAUAGUCGAUGGAUUUUAACUGAAUCAUGCUUGCAAUUUAUUUUGCGUUUCGUGUUAUCGGCCAUUUUGGUUGGUAAUAGCAGAAAUGGCAUGCAUUCGAUUAACAAUGCGAUAGAUUUGGGAUACUUUCAGGACCCGUCUUGA